rnacentral:lncRNA from 1 species
AUGCAUGCCCUAUUCCUCCUGCAGGCUUAGUUCCAGCAAUGUAUAAUCUCGUGUACGAGAAAGAUGACUUUAGUUCCCUCAAACGGUGGCUAAAUAAAUGGAUCCUGAUGAAUUAUUCGCACCUUGACUGCUUGAGGUGGUGUUGUGUGAAAACUAAUACCAGAGAAAGACUGCCUUUUUCUUUUUCUCCCAAAACACGCAUAUUUAUUGAACAUCUUCAUGGCCAGAUUGUAUUAACAAACGAAGCCAGUUUUGCCACCACCUUGAUCUCUGCACUGCUAAAUACAAUUGCGUGUUGCUUAAAUUUUUUUGAUUUUGAAUUACUCGCACCUUGACUGCUUGAGGUGAUGUUGUGUGAAAACUAAUACGAGAGAAAGACUGCCUUUUUCUUUUUCUCCUUAAACACGCAUAUUUAUUGAACGUCUUCAUGGCCAGAUUGUAUUAACAAACGAAGCUAGUUUUGCCGCCACCUUGAUCUCUGCACUGCUAAAUACAAUUGCGUGUUGCUUAAAUUUUUUUGAUUUUGAAUUACUCGCACCUUGACUGCUUGAGGUGGUGUUGUGUGAAAACUAAUACGAGAGAAAGACUGCCUUUUUCUUUUUCUCCUUAAACACGCAUAUUUAUUGAACAUCUUCAUGGCCAGAUUGUAUUAACAAACGUUGCCAGUUUUGCC